UACGGAGGAUGCGAGCGUUAUCCGGAUUUAUUGGGUUUAAAGGGUGCGUAGGCGGAUUUUUAAGUCAGCGGUAAAAUGUCCGGGCUCAACCCGGGCCGGCCGUUGAAACUGGGGAUCUUGAGUGGGCGAGAAGUAUGCGGAAUGCGUGGUGUAGCGGUGAAAUGCAUAGAUAUCACGCAGAACUCCGAUUGCGAAGGCAGCAUACCGGCGCCCGACUGACGCUGAGGCACGAAAGCGUGGGGAUC
rnacentral:rRNA from 1 species